UCGAAUCAAUCCAGGGUUGAUGCUGGCAAUAUUUUAUGAUUGUAAUGUGCUCACUCUUAUCUUUUUCAUACACAUUUGUGCACUCCCAACUCAAUUUUUCCAAGGUGAAUGGGGUUUUAUAUAUAUAAUAUAAAGCGCGCGCCCUAUUACCCUUCGAAAAACUUGUAAACCCUGUCUAUUUGAUGUAAAGAAUGUUUUUAUAUAUGCCUUAUAGGCAAUGUUUGAUA
rnacentral:misc_RNA from 1 species